rnacentral:rRNA from 1 species
AUGAAACCAUUUUAUUACCUCUACCGCAUAACUAAUCCAAACAGAAGCCAGGUACAACAAAAAAUAGCUCGUCCAGCAGACCACAUUCGAUCACCAAAAGCUUACAAGAAAUGCACUUCCAAGAUUUACCUAUCUAUGCACUUCAAGUUCACAUCGUCGUAUACACUUUUCUCAUCUAAUCCACAGGGCCAACUCGAUCAUCGCCGAUGCUCCAAAAGCAGGCAGCAUCUCACAUCCCCUGCAUUCAGUUCAACAACACACACAGACCUGCUCUACUGCCCCAGGAGCCUCUUGACGCCGGACUUCUGGUCGGCGGUGAGCCUGGCGGGGAACUUGAUGUCGAACUUGACCCGCAGGUUGCCCUUCCUGGACGGGUCCUUGGGGAUCGGCAUGCCCUCGCCGCGCACCACCUCCUCAUACCCCGGGUGGAUCACCGAGCUGAUGGGCACCGUCAGGCUGCGCCCGUCCAGCGUCGUCAGGUGCACCGUGUACCCCGUCAGGGCCUCUGCCAGCGGUAUCUUCUGCGUCGCCACCAGGUCGUUGCCGUCCCGGGUGUACACCGGGUGCGGCUUCUCGUCGAUGAUGAAGACCAGGUCCGCCGCGAUCGUGUGGGGCUGCUCAUUGCCCUUCUCCGGGAAGGUGAUUUUGGUGCCCUUCUUCCACCCCGGCUUCACGUCGAUCGUCAGGAUCUCCUCCACCGGGAUCGUCUUCCUGCACACAGUUAAGGAAGAACAUGCUUUAGUAUCUAUGUUAGCAGACAAAAUCACUUCCUUCUUCCUCUGA